rnacentral:rRNA from 1 species
GAUGAACGCUGGCGGCGUGCCUAAUACAUGCAAGUCGAGCGAACAGACGAGGAGCUUGCUCCUCUGCCGUUAGCGGCGGGCGGGUGAGUAACACAUGGAUAACCUUCCUAUAAUACUGGGGUAACUUCGGGAAACCGGAGCUAAUACCAGAUCAUAUAUUGAACCGCAUGGUUCAAUAGUGAAAGACGGUUUUGCUGUCACUUUUAGAUGGUUCCGCGUCGCAUUAGCUAGUUGGUAAGGUAACGGCUUACCAAGGCGACGAUGCGUAGCCGACCUGAGAGGAUGAUCGGCCACACUGGAACUGAGACACGGUCCAGACUCCUACGGGAGGCAGCAGUAGGGAAUCUUCCGCAAAGGGCGAAAGCCUGACGGAGCAACGCCGCGUGAGUGAUGAAGGUCUUCGGAUCGUAAAGCUCUGUUAUUAGGGAAGAACAAAUGUGUAAGUAACUAUGCACGUCUUGACGGUACCUAAUCAGAAAGCCACGGCUAACUACGUG